rnacentral:tRNA from 1 species
GGAGAGAUGGCCGAGUUGGUUAUGGCGUCAGGUUAAGGUCCUGAUGGGAUUUUCCCGCGUGGGUUCGAAUCCCACUCUCUUCA